rnacentral:pre_miRNA from 1 species
UCAUAGGGCCUGAUCCACAGCCCACUGAAGUCCAUGGGAGUCUUUCUAUUGAUUUCAGUGGGCUUUGGAUCAAGCCCUAAAGA